GAUGAACGCUAGCGGCAGGCCUAAUACAUGCAAGUCGAACGGUGUAGCAAUACACAGUGGCGCACGGGUGCGUAACACGUAUGCAACCUACCUAUUAUUGGGGGAUAGCCUUUGGAAACGGAGAUUAAUACCGCAUAAGACAGUGACAUGGCAUCAUGUAGCUGUUAAAGCUUUGGCGAUAAUAGAUGGGCAUGCGUCCAAUUAGUUAGUUGGUGAGGUAAUGGCUCACCAAGACGAUGAUUGGUAGGGGAUCUGAGAGGAUAAUCCCCCACACUGGCACUGAGAUACGGGCCAGACUCCUACGGGAGGCAGCAGUAGAGAAUAUUGGGCAAUGGACGGAAGUCUGACCCAGCCGUGCCGCGUGCAGGAUGACGGCGUUAUGCGUUGUAAACUGCUUUUUUAUAGGAAGAAGAAGCCCUUGCGAGGGAAAGUGACGGUACUAUAAGAAUAAGCACCGGCUAACUCCGUGCCAGCCGCCGCCGUAAAAC
rnacentral:rRNA from 1 species